GAACUUGUUCCUAACGCAAGGAUAUCUAGCUGAUAAUUAGAUUUAAGGGGGUUAAAGUCCCUCCAAGUUCU
rnacentral:tRNA from 1 species